UUUCAUUUUUUCUUUCUAUAAAGGAAAAAUUAGGUAGUGACAAGAAUUACUAUAUUUUUGUCGAAGUAUUCUGGUAUGGUGCACCAUUAAUUUAGCAGCAAAUAAGGAAAAUUGAAGUUACAAGAGAAAUCAGAGAACUACGAGGUUGCAUGGAUCUUUUUGAUUUCUCAACACAGUUCUGGGGAUUCAAAAGGGAGAGCAUUCUUCCAAGUACUCUCUAGAGGUGUCAACUAAGGAAUUUCUUCUUAAAUAACAGUAGCAGUCGCAUGGUGCCAUGGUCAAAUAAAUCUUGGUUUCUACUUUUUGGGUAAAAAUUCUAUCAUAUAACUUU